rnacentral:rRNA from 1 species
AAAUUGAAGAGUUUGAUCAUGGCUCAGAUUGAACGCUGGCGGCAGGCCUAACACAUGCAAGUCGAACGGUAACAGGAAUCAGCUUGCUGAUUCGCUGACGAGUGGCGGACGG